rnacentral:sRNA from 1 species
AUUACAAUUUAUUAUAAGUAUUAUAUUCUAUAUAAUAACUCAAGAAAUAUUUUCAGCAGCAACUAUAUCUUCUACUAUUGAUAAAAAAAUAUAUGAUAUAAAUAAUAUAAUAAAAGAUAUAAAAUCAGAUAUUGAAAUAUAUCAAAAGAAAAAUAAUAUACAAGAUUCAAUACUGUCUUCAGAAGAUGAAGAUUUUAAUGAUUUUAUAUUCAGUAAAUUAAAUUUGUUACAAUCUAUAAAUAAACCAGAUAUGAUUUUGACCUCUAGAGCGUGGUAUUGUCAUGAAAUUCCAUGUAUAAAUGAAAUGGAUUGUUUGCACCAACCUGGUUCUAGAUUAGACUGUCAUGGGUGUAAUAAAUCACGGGGGA